GAGCAAGAUUUCAUCUCAAAAAAAUCCCAAAAUUCUUAUUUUAUAAUUUUUGUACAUGUGAUAAGUAGAAGAAUUAUCUAUAAGCCAGCUUUGGCCCCUAUACAUUUCGAACUUUGUUUUUCUUCUGUUAGUAACAUACUUCAGUGUUGGGCAGCAUAAAACAUGCUCUUAUUAACCUACGGCCCUGUAUUUUCAUAUCACAUAACCAGUUUAGUGAGGACUGUGGGCAGCAGAUUUCCUGGAAGGCAACCUUAUAUCAGAAAAGCUGGCAAUGACCUAAGCAGUAACACCCUGAAGCAGAAGGAGCCUCCACCCUGGUGCCUCAGAUUUAGAGGGCUCAGCUCUUACUUCUGGCCACAUCACCCCACAAAAGGCAAGAAUUUCAUGAGGCCAAAUGGGCAUGCUGUAUGAGAGUCUACAGCUGCCUUAUAGACUACAUAUUCUGGGCACUCAAAACUCAGAAAUUUCCUGAUCAUUUUUAGGCUGGGAUGGCCUGAUCUGUCUCCUCAAGUGUGGGCAGCAUUGCUAGUAUGUGUACCCUUAAACUGAAGGAGUGGACAACAGGUAGCUGUUGGCAAGAUAUGUGAACAGAGCUUAGACAUGCAGCCUGGCGUGUCCAUGUAUGUAACUGUGAAGUCCUCAGAGUGUGGAAUAUAGCUGGUAAUGGAAAGAGAUUGGGUGAGCUGUGGGUCAGCUUUCCUAUAUACAUUCUGGUAAGGAGCUCCAAAGAAUCUGAAAACUCCAGAUUCAGACCUGUUCUCCUUGUCAAGCCUGUGAAGCCCCAUGCACCAAAUCCCUGGUUACAAAGUUUAGUCCCAGGCCUAACCACACGAAGCAGAGUUCGUUCAGCACUUGUCAAAGAUCUACACACCUCCCGGGAGAAAAGGAUUGCUGUGGGACCAUUUAGAUCUAACAACCCAACUCUUUAGCUGGGUAAAUACUCAGAGAGAAGAUUCUACCAUCAUGUCUUCUCCCUCUGGAAAGAAAGGUACUCAUCUCUAAGCUGAACACUUCUCUUACUUCAAGAUUCAGGAAGCAGUGGACCUGGUCACAGUGGGUCUUUUUAAUUGACACUGUACAAUCUUGUUGUCACUAUGUUUAUAAUGAAAAAUUAUUUAAC